rnacentral:rRNA from 1 species
UACGAAGGAUCCAAGCGUUAUCCGGAUUUAUUGGGUUUAAAGGGCGCGUAGGCGGCCUGGCAAGUGGAAGGUGAAAUCCCUCGGCUUAACCGAGGAACUGCCUCCCAAACUGCUUGGCUCGAGACCGGGAGAGGUGAGUGGAAUUCCCAGUGUAGCGGUGAAAUGCGCAGAUAUCAGGAGGAACACCAAUGGCGAAGGCAGCUCACUGGGACGGUAUUGACGCUGAGACGCGAAAGCGUGGGGAGCAAACAGG